rnacentral:rRNA from 1 species
GAUCCUGGCUCAGGGUGAACGCUAGCGACAGGCUUAACACAUGCAAGUCGAGGGGCAGCGGGGUGUAGCAAUACACCGCCGGCGACCGGCGCACGGGUGAGUAACACGUAUCCAACCUCCCGCAUACUCGGGAAUAGCCUUUCGAAAGAAAGAUUAAUGCCCGAUGGUUUCAAGGGAUUGCAUGGUAUCUUGAAUAAAGAUUCAUCGGUAUGCGAUGGGGAUGCGUUCCAUUAGGCAGUUGGCGGGG